rnacentral:ribozyme from 13 species
UAUCUAAAAGAAGAGAAAGAAAUCCUCAAAACAAUCACAGGAGAUUGGCAAAAGAGAGGAGAUGCUCUUCGCUCUAUUGCCUCUUUUCGUUGUCAAUUCCCUUCUUCUUCUUCCUCUUCUCUUUCUUCC